rnacentral:rRNA from 1 species
AUGUUGCACAAUGGCAAGAAUGGCACAUCAACAGCACACCGCCUCAGUUUGUGCGAGCUGGACUAUGACGCCGCGGUGACCAGCCUCAAUGUCUGCAUCGCCAUGCUCAAGGACUACCAUGGGCCCAAAGGUGGUGAAAAAGAUGGACCACCAUCCUUUUAUUUACCCGACUGUGUGGGUGAGGCAUCCGGCCUUGUCAGCUACUGUGAGCAUGAGCUUGUCGAUAUGCCUGGGCAGGAGGCGUUGUACAAAGAAAAUAUUGAGCUCGGCAAGCUGGGUGACCUCAAUGUUGCCUUGAUGGCACCAUAUUGGGAUUUGACCCAAAAUUAG